GACGAACGCUGGCGGCGUGCUUAACACAUGCAAGUCGAACGGAAAGGCCCUGCUUUUGUGGGGUGCUCGAGUGGCGAACGGGUGAGUAACACGUGAGUAACCUGCCCUUGACUUUGGGAUAACUUCAGGAAACUGGGGCUAAUACCGGAUAGGAGCUCCUGCUGCAUGGUGGGGGUUGGAAAGUUUCGGCGGUUGGGGCUGGACUCGCGGCUUAUCAGCUUGUUGGUGGGGUAGUGGCUUACCAAGGCUUUGACGGGUAGCCGGCCUGAGAGGGUGACCGGCCACAUUGGGACUGAGAUACGGCCCAGACUCCUACGGGAGGCAGCAGUGGGGAAUAUUGCACAAUGGGCGGAAGCCUGAUGCAGCAACGCCGCGUGCGGGAUGACGGCCUUCGGGUUGUAAACCGCUUUCGCCUGUGACGAAGCGUGAGUGACGGUAAUGGGUAAAGAAGCACCGGCUAACUACGUG
rnacentral:rRNA from 1 species